rnacentral:rRNA from 1 species
GAUAGAGGCCUACCAUGGUGGUAACGGGUAACGGGGUGUUAGGGCACGACACCGGAGAGGGAGCCUGAGAAACGGCUACCACAUCCAAGGAUGGCAGCAGGCGCGCAAAUUACCCAAUCCCGACACGGGGAGGUAGUGACAAUAAAUAACAAUACGGGGUUCUUUAGGAUCUCGUAAUUGGAAUGAGUACAAUUUAAAUCCCUUAACGAGAACCAAUUGGAGGGCAAGUCUGGUGCCAGCAGCCGCGGUAAUUCCAGCUCCAAUAGCGUAUAUUAAAGUUGUUGCAGUUAAAAAGCUCGUAGUUGAACCUUGGUCUCGGUUAUUGUGGUCAGUGUAUGCUGUACUGCAGUAACCGGGACUUUCCUUCCGGGGAACUAUUGUGCUCUUAACUGGGUGUAAUAGGGAACCGGGACUUUUACUUUGAAAAAAUUAGAGUGUUCAAAGCAGGCUUAUGCUUGAAUACNNUAGCAUGGAAUAAUGAAAUAGGACUUUGGUUCUAUUUUGUUGGUUUCUAGGAUCAAAGUAAUGAUUAAUAGGGAUAGUUNGGGGCGUUAGUAUUCAGCUGUCAGAGGUGAAAUUCUUGGAUUGGCUGAAGACUAACUUCUGCG